GCAGCUACCUUUAAAUUGCUGCCUAUAAUUAUUGAAGAAUUCCUGCAGCAUGAGAGGGGAACAGCUGGAAUUACUGGCUGGAAUUAUGUGGAAUUAUGUGGAAACUCUGGUGACCAGGAGAAAGCAGCUGCUGACAGGUACUUCUGUCUCACCCCAGCAGGCUCUGCAUUAACUCACCCCAUAAACAACACAUCCCGUGACCCCAAAUCCACCCUGUGACUCCAAAUCCAUCCAGCUCUACCAGGUUUAUUUGAUGAAGGAAAGACAGAAGGCAAAUGAUGGGAUGGUUUGGCCAUGAACAGAAUGACAGCUUUGAAAAGGAUUUUCCCAAAAUUCCACUUUUGCCUGUGAAAGCAGCUCUGAAGGGAAGUUGUUGCCUCUGAGGUGCCACUUCACAGCCUUUAAGGACAAGGAGAUGUUGAUCCUAAUCCAGAGGAAUUGAAGAUUUCCCUAGAGGCUUCCAGGCACAGGACCACGAGACAUCAACAGCUCCACUAAUGCUGGAAUCAGGAUGGAGAGAAAAGCUCCAGGAACACCCCCCUGCAGCUGGGACAGAGCAUGUUCACAGGGCAGCACCUCCCACAUCCCAGCCCUGGGACACAGGGAAAAGCAGGGACUGGGAAAAUAGAAAUGGUUGAUGGAUUUGCUGCUGAGCCAGGGAUGUGCCUGUGCUCAUUCCUGAUGCCCUGAGCUCCUCCUGAAGCAAGAGCAGCAGGAAGAGCAGGGCAGGGAGUGGCUGUGGUGCCUGGCAAAGGGGACAGCCCUGGUUCCAAACCCCAGGGUAGAGCCUCUGGCUCCAGGAGCACUGCAGGAGAUGGGAUGGUGCUGCUGGAAGAGGAUUGUGGCACCUCCUGCCUGUGGAACUCCGACCUGGGGCUGCUCCUGCCUCUCCUCCUCACCUUUAUCUCCUCAUCUGUGGGAUACAAAGGAGAGGAAAACCCAGGGAUGAGCUGUCUGCUGCUUGGUUGCACAAGGACACGGAGAAAAAAAAAGGGAGAAGAGGGUGCUGUGCUAUUUUGAGCUGCCUCCUCCUCAAUUCCUAGGGGUGGAAUUUUACCUCUGGAGUGUUGAUUGCUUUGUAGGAAGGAUUUAAAGACUACUUACACAAAAAUGAUAAUUAAAACCUAAAUUAAACCUAGGCCUAGUCAAUACUUCCCAUUUCCAUUGUUCUCAAAGUGCAAAAUAACAUUUCCAUUUUGCCAUAGAGAUUUACUGGCCUUUUUCAACCAUUUCACUAAAACAAACUCAAAAUGCUGGGUUUGAAAAUGAUAAGUCUGUAGAAAGCCCCACUGGCAAUAAGCUUCCAGCAUGAUUCCUUAA